GCCUGGGUGGCUCAGUCGGUUGAGCAUCUGACUUUGGCUCAGGUCAUGAUCUCACGGUCCGUGAGUUCGAGCCCCACGUUGGGCU
rnacentral:tRNA from 1 species